GAGUAACAGAAACAACAACAAUAGUAAUCCUAUAUCCUUUAUCAUCAGCCACCUUGACGGUAUCCUCGAAGGACAGCAAUGGCAUAUUAACCCAGAUAAAACAAGUAAGGAUAACGCGCAGGCAACGAGAAGGAUAUAAAUCGCUAUAGCCUCCUAAUCAUAAUAAUAUUGGUACAAAUGAUAAUGGGUGAAGAAUUUUAAGAAGAAUUAAUAAAAUCGAG